rnacentral:rRNA from 1 species
AUUGAACGCUGGCGGCAGGCCUAACACAUGCAAGUCGAGCGGAUGAAGGGAGCUUGCUCCUGGAUUCAGCGGCGGACGGGUGAGUAAUGCCUAGGAAUCUGCCUGGUAGUGGGGGAUAACGUCCGGAAACGGGCGCUAAUACCGCAUACGUCCUGAGGGAGAAAGUGGGGGAUCUUCGGACCUCACGCUAUCAGAUGAGCCUAGGUCGGAUUAGCUAGUUGGUGGGGUAAAGGCCUACCAAGGCGACGAUCCGUAACUGGUCUGAGAGGAUGAUCAGUCACACUGGAACUGAGACACGGUCCAGACUCCUGCGGGAGGCAGCAGUGGGGAAUAUUGGACGAUGGGCGAAAGCCUGAUCCAGCCAUGCCGCGUGUGUGAAGAAGGUCUACGGAUUUUAAAGCACUUUAAGUUGGGAGGAAGGGCAGUAAGUUAAUACCUUGCUGUUUUGACGUUACCAACAGAAUAAGCACCGGCUAACUUCGUG